rnacentral:rRNA from 1 species
UAGGGAAUCUUCGGCAAUGGGGGGAACCCUGACCGAGCAACGCCGCGUGAGUGAAGAAGGUUUUCGGAUCGUAAAGCUCUGUUGUUAAGGAAGAACGAGUGUGAGAAUGGAAAGUUCAUACUGUGACGGUACUUAACCAGAAAGGGACGGCUAACUACGUGCCAGCAGCCGCGGUAAUACGUAGGUCCCGAGCGUUGUCCGGAUUUAUUGGGCGUAAAGCGAGCGCAGGCGGUUAGAUAAGUCUGAAGUUAAAGGCAGUGGCUCAACCAUUGUAGGCUUUGGAAACUGUUUAACUUGAGUGCAGAAGGGGAGAGUGGAAUUCCAUGGGUAGCGGUGAAAUGCGUAGAUAUAUGGAGGAACACCGGUGGAGAAAGCGGCUCUCUGGUCUGUAACUGACGCUGAGGCUUGAAAGCGUGGGGAGCGAACAGG